GAUGAACGCUGGCGGCGUGCUUAACACAUGCAAGUCGAGCGAUGAAGUUUCCUUCGGGAAAUGGAUUAGCGGCGGACGGGUGAGUAACACGUGGGUAACCUGCCUCAUAGAGUGGAAUAGCCUUCCGAAAGGAAGAUUAAUACCGCAUAAUGUUGAAAGAUGGCAUCAUCAUUCAACCAAAGGAGCAAUCCGCUAUGAGAUGGACCCGCGGCGCAUUAGCUAGUUGGUGGGGUAACGGCCUACCAAGGCGACGAUGCGUAGCCGACCUGAGAGGGUGAUCGGCCACAUUGGGACUGAGACACGGCCCAGACUCCUACGGGAGGCAGCAGUGGGGAAUAUUGCACAAUGGGGGGGACCCUGAUGCAGCAACGCCGCGUGAGUGAUGAAGGUUUUCGGAUCGUAAAGCUCUGUCUUUGGGGAAGAUAAUGACGGUACCCAAGGAGGAAGCCACGGCUAACUACGUGCCAGCCGCCGCCGUAA
rnacentral:rRNA from 1 species